rnacentral:misc_RNA from 1 species
GAGAGAGAGAGAGAGAGAGGAGGGCAAUAGCCUUUGGAUAGGUUCAGUCAACAAGACCAAAUGCUUAACAAGAAGCAAUUAGGAAACAAAUACAAGUGAUGACCACAUAACCAUCAUUCUCCUUGUUUGAAGUUGGAAACAGAACGAAGAACAAUGACCCCACAUCACUUGCGUAUUGAAACAAAAUUUGUGAGUUCGAAAAACAAGACCGCCAAAUUCAAUCAUGGAAAUUUUUUCCAUGGCAAGUUAAUGGGUUUAAAUAAUCUAUUUGAUAGGAGUGACUCAGAGUUCUCCAUCUGGUUCAUCAUCCCCAUUUGACUGAUGAGAAUAACUGCACAUAAAACGAAAGCUCAUCUCAUACGAAGCUCAACCCCAACUCUUAUAAGUCAACCACUAAACCUAGUUGUUUGUGAAAGAACCACAAUUUUUUAUAAAAUAAUAAGUAAACAAUACAAAAUUGAAGGAAGAAGUAGAAUUUCCUAGUUUCUAAUCGAUAUAUGUGCAAACAAGUUGGGUAUUUUCUUGGAGUUGAAGAAAUAUAAUGCAUAUCAUGUAAUGGUUUUUUUUUUUCUUUUUUCAGGGUAUGUGUUGAGUUUUCCACUUUCAACUUUAAUACUACGUUAAGAAUACCCUUAGAAUCCACAGAUGGACAUUAAUUACAAGUUAGGUGACUACUUAAAACCAUAGCUUGGUAAACCUUUAAAGCCAAGUCCCUGUUACUAAAAGCUACUUCUAAAAUUGUCCUCAUCUGAAGCACCAGCACUACACAUGGCAAGCCUUGUCUAGUAGUAGCCAAUAAGUUUAGUAUUUGUUAAGUGAAGAUCAAUUCAAAUUUGAGAUUCAAUAUUACCUUGAAUGGGUGCAAUGCUUGCUCAAAUCUUGACAUAGAACCUUACUCACACCUCCAACUUUCACAGAUCCUUUCUUUAUCAAUUCUGUCAACUGCAAUAUUAAUCAACAUUAGUAGCGCUACACUGUUAGCUUCUAUACAAACAAAAAUGGCCUUUGAAUCUAGAAAUGGCUAAUCAUGAUAAGAAUAAUCACCUCAUCUUCAGUUUCCUCCAGUAACCUGUCCCAUUUUAAACACAUGGAUUGAACUUAGUAAACUAUGAUCUUAUUGGCCUUAUCAACCUUGGAACAGACGCCAUUACAAAAUCAAACAAUUACUUAAUAUAAGCGCAUAAGUGAAAACCAUUUGACAUCUUACCUUCCACAAUAAGAUGAUAUGGCUUUUGAAUAUGCUCGAGCCUCUUGCUUAUCUAUUGACAAAAACAAAUGUUUUAAUAAAAAUAAUGGCUAAACCUAUUAUAUCAUAAUAAAAAUAAUGAAUCCUUUAAUAAAAAUUUCAAACAACUAUAAAAGAGGGAACUCGCAAUAAACAUCCAGAGUUAAACCAGUCAUCAUCAUCAAUGCAUUUUGGGAGUACAUAAAAACAAACAGAAAAGUAUAAUUUAUUCAAGGAAAACAUCAGGCUCAGCAAGAGGAAGAAAAUGGCUGCCCAGGCACAAAUUUGUUCAAGGCUUAAAGCAUGCUAGCCAAACUAAAAGGAAGAUAUGGUUAACUGCAGCUAUUGCAAGAAAGUACGUACUAGCUGUAAGAUUAUCCCAGUUAUCCACUUUGACCCACAAGCUUCUUGUGGAAUCCAUCUUUUGAAGAGUGUAAUCUUGCAUCUUCUCACAAAGUCCAUCCAAGAGUUCAACAACUCUCAGUUCGCUGACUCUAUUUGAAAAUUUGAAGCAUUUGCACAAUUAUAAAAUUAGACAUUGUUACAUAAAUUAUACCCAGUAGGAAAUAAUUUAUUUGAAAAGAGAUCAUAUAAAGUAAUAUCCAUAACAUUAAGUAAACAGUAGUUGUUUUAAAUGUCAUAUAUCCAUAUCUAUAAAAUUGAAAGUAAAAAAUUAAGUUUAUAAUUUUGCAAAUACCUAGAUCCACUCCCUGGAAUAAGUGAAAAUAUGAAAUGAACAAAAUUUGCCUGUUUAAAUCAAUUUGCUGAUCUAAUUGUUAUUUAUUAAGUCCAGUCCUUUGUCCUUAAUCUCCCAUUUUAAAUCUAAAGCUUAGUUCUUGACCUUAUACCACGCAUUUUCAUCACCCUCCAACAUUAAACUCUCCACUAUACACUCCAGAUAUCCAUCAGAAAUGAAAAUUGCCACUCACAUGACUGGUCGUUUUCCUCCUGCAGAAGCUGAAAGGAGAUAUUGAAACAAUACCUGUAAUCGAUUACCUUUCCUUCACGUUGACCUUUAGAAUUCAAGCGAUUUCUCAUAUCCAAAUGAUUCCUUGGUUUUUCGUUUGAAAGCCCUCGCUCCAACUCAUCCGCAACGGCAUAACAUGCACCGCACUUGUCUUCGACGGCUAAAACGACUGUGAAGGUCAAUAUGGCGAAUAUGGUGAUGAGCCACACCGCCACAGACUCCGCCAUUUUCUUUUUCUUCUUCCUCCUCUUCACUAACCGUAGAAUUGUGUUAAACCCUAGGGAACUCGGCCCAGCCCAUGCCUUACGUCCAGAUCCUAAUGAGAACCGUGAG